UACAGAGGUCCCAAGCGUUGUUCGGAUUCAUUGGGCGUAAGGGUGCGUAGGAGGGCAGGUAAGUCAGUGGUGAAAUCUCCGAGCUUAACUUGGAACUGCCGUUGAUACUAUCUGCCUUGAAUAUUGUGGAGGUGAGCGGAAUAUGUCAUGUAGCGGUGAAAUGCUUAGAUAUGACAUAGAACACCAAUUGCGAAGGCAGCUCGCUACACAUAUAUUGACUCUGAGGCACGAAAGCGUGGGGAUCAAACAGG
rnacentral:rRNA from 1 species